rnacentral:rRNA from 1 species
CCUACGGGAGACAGCAGUGAGGAAUAUUGGUCAAUGGGCGCGAGCCUGAACCCGCCAAGUAGCGUGAAGGCUGACUGCCCUACGGGUUGUAAACUUCUUUUAUCAAGGAAUAAAGUGAGGCACGUGAGCCUUUUUGUAUGUACUUUAUGAAUACGGAUCGGCUAACUCCGUGCCAGCAGCCGCGGUAAUACGGAGGAACCGAGCGUUAUCCGGAUUUAUUGGGUUUAAAGGGAGCGUAGUGGGGAUGUCAAGUCAGGUGUGAAAGUUUGCGGCGCAACCGUAAAAUUGCAAUUGAUACUGGCAGCCUUGAGUACAGUUGAGGUAAGCGGAAUUCGUGGUGUAGCGGUGAAAUGCUUAGAUAUCACGAAGAACUCCGAUUGCGAAGGCAGCCUACUAAACUGCCACUGACAUUGAUGCUCGAAAGUGUGGGUAUCAAACAGGAUUAGAUACCCGUGUAGUC